rnacentral:rRNA from 1 species
CCAGACUCCUACGGGAGGCAGCAGUGAGGAAUAUUGGUCAAUGGGCGGAAGCCUGAACCAGCCAAGUCGCGUGAGGGAAUAAGGCCCUACGGGUCGUAAACCUCUUUUGUCGGGGAGCAAAGCGAACCACGUGUGGUUCAUUGAGAGUACCCGAAGAAAAAGCAUCGGCUAACUCCGUGCCAGCAGCCGCGGUAAUACGGAGGAUGCGAGCGUUAUCCGGAUUUAUUGGGUUUAAAGGGUGCGCAGGCGGAAUGUCAAGUCAGCGGUAAAAUUUCGGGGCUCAACCCCGUCGUGCCGUUGAAACUGGCGUUCUUGAGUGAGCGAGAAGUAUGCGGAAUGCGUGGUGUAGCGGUGAAAUGCAUAGAUAUCGCGCAGAACUCCGAUUGCGAAGGCAGCAUGCCGGCUCCACACUGACGCUGAGGCACGAAAGCGUGGGUAUCGAACAGGAUUAGAUACCCCAGUAAU